AGUUUUGAUACUGGGCUCAAAACACGGAGCCCAUCUAACUGGCCCAACUUUCUCAAGCCUCCUCUCUCCGGUCCUCCUCUCUACUUGCAGCCGUCACCGGAGGGCGAAGAUUUGCUGGGCUGGCGGCGGACCAGACGGACGGAGGCUGGGCAGGUGGAGGUGGCGGCGGACCUCGAGCUCUCCCCACCCAUGGCGGUGCCAAGAGUUCAAGUCCGGGGAGUCCCUCCGAAUGCGUUGAAUGGUUAGACUGGUGCCUCCGUGCAUUGAUUGGGUGGAGAGGAAAUGCGCAGCUUGUUUUGUUUGCCCUGGUUGGUUGGGUAGGGAGGAAAUGCAAGUAUCCAUCAAUGGGGAGGCCACCUUCUAGUGAUGAGAAUGGCCUCAAGAAGGGUCCCUGGACUACUGAAGAAGACGAGAAGCUCAUGAGCUACAUCCAGAAGCAUGGCCAUGGAAGCUGGAGAGCCCUACCUCAACUUGCUGGCCUAUCCUUUUCAUCUGAGCCUGUAUGGUUUUUGGAACAGAAGGGAACCAGAUAGAGCUUAAUUUCAGUAUGCUUUGACUUGAAAAAUUGCAUUUGUUGGGCUUAUAUGCUUACUCUAUGUUUCCUUACUGAAAAUUGCACAGGAUAGGGAACAUGGAAAGGCAAAUGAAACUCUGAAUGAAGCAAGUGAAGGAUCUGUGUUCAAGGCACGGAAUAUAACAGGUAGCCAAGAAAUUUCGUGGCUGCUAGCUACUAGCCUGGCGUAGUGGCGUAUAAUGCAUCCAGAUUAUUCAGUGAAGCUACAUCAGAGUGUCAGCAGGACACAGGAUUGGACAAACAGCUGAACAAGGUUUGCUGGACAACGCCAAGUUCUGAAAAAUGGUGAAGCCCAGAUCAUGUCACUUGUUCUCUCUGAGUCCAACAAUUGCACGGAGAUAUAAAAAAAUCACAUCACUCUUCAACUUGAAUUUAAACAAAUGGAAGCCUAAAUUCCAGAUUCAUGGGCUUCACAAGACAACAUGAGGGCACUGGGAGAACACGCAAUAUGAGAAUUCACUUUUCUUGUCUCCUCUUGAUAAGUCGUAACUACCAACUCCAGGUAUUGUUUUUGUCUGGUUUCAUGUAGCAUGCGGUAUCCGUCAUUCCACGUGCUUUACCAGGUGUGGGCUCAGAUUUUAUAUUUCUGAAAUCCAUCCAUGCACGCAACGUGAGAAGAAAGCAGCCAUGGAGCUCUCGUCACCUUGUCUGUCUUCCUCCUGUCCUGUUAUUUGGGUCCAUAAACAAAUGCAGAAUCAGGUGUCCACCACUGGACAGAAGCAUAAUGCUCUGAGAAAUAUAGGCCAACGCUAAUCACUGCUUUUUUCUGUUCAUAUAUUUAUGCUGUUUUCUGAUGUCCGUUGACUCCUGGACUUAUAUCAUCUAGUGUGUUAUGUGCGAACUAGCGGAACGUCUUGCCUUGCUCAGGCCGACGGGUUCGUGUUAAAUAGAUGGGGCGCACCUCCCAUGACAGCGCAUACAUGUGGUUGAGAUUACAAUCUUGGAGAUCAAGAAAGGAGAUAGAGAUAAGAGGUUACAUGAGAUAAACAUAAUACCCUAACAACCUAACUAUCUCCUAUGCCACAUAUAUCUGGGCUAACGCGCCGGUCAUGUAGCGUGACAUGUUGACAUGUUUAACAUGUUAUUGGUUAAUUUGUUUAACUAGGUUGUUGUUUGUCUGGAGUAUUCUAGACCUCUCUAAAUUUUUUGCAGAUUAAUACAAAGAUUAAACAGAAAUUGUGCCUGGUAACUUUAGGACUGGUCUGAUCCUAUAAAACUGUUAAUAUUGCGGUCGAAUUUGAAGGCUUCGUUUAAAUUAGUCUCGGUUGCUAAUUCCAAUUUGGUCUCGAUGUUUACUUGCAGAGUUAGAUCAUUAUAUUCUCUGUUUUAAGUUUCAAUGGUCUUUUAAAUAGCGAAUCCCACUGUCCUAGUCAAAGUUGGUUGAGUCUGCCGUCCUCGAUGAUCUCAUUAGUCAUUACAUCUAACAGUCCUAUGUUCUUUAACUAAGGCACUCCUUGGUUAGGCUUCUUCAUGCCGUGUCAUGUACUCAUGUCAAGCCGUAUGCAUUAUGCACCUAUACACAUAUAUCCUUUUAGUUAAGGAGUGAUUAUGGUGUUAUUUUGUUUAUUCACUAUAUGAACACUUGCAAAAAGGUUAGCCAUUUUUGGUAUUGCUCUGUUUGCACCAUCCCUACCCCAUCUUUUUCUGUGGUAAAUUAGAGAACCACAUUGUUGUUUUUUCCUUAUCAGAAAUAUCAAUGUGAAUCAUCAUGUAGAAUAGUCAAAGCCGCAAAGGCAAUCGUGUUUAUCAUCUCAAUCCACAUUAGAAGGGAAGUUUUACUCUUCUUAAAAGCUUGUAGCAUAGAAGAUAAGUACUCUACAUGUAUAUGUCAUGAGUUAGCACUCUCAACGGGUUGAAACUCUCACCAACUACCUUUUUCUUGUAGGUUCCAGCGGGUUGUAAAUGUAAUACAUAAUCGGCCCAGAUCUUUGCUGAUGUCUUGUAGCUGGCCAUUUUUUGUAUAGCUCUCUGUUUGCACCCUAUCCCCAUCUAUUGUUGGGGUAAAUUAGAGGACCACAUUGUUAUUUUUUUCCUUAUAAUUCUUAAAUAUCAAUGUGAAUCAGCAUGUAGAAUAGUCAAAGCCACAAAGGCAAUUGUGUUUAUCAUCUCAAUUCUACAUGUAUAUGUCAUGAGUUGGCACUCCAACGGGUUGAAACUCUCACCAACUACACUUUUCUUGUAGGUUCCAUUUGCAAUACAUAAUCUGCCAAGAUCUUUGCUGGUGUCUUCUACCCGACGAAUAGAAAAAUCAAGUGAAAAGUACUGGUUUUUCUUUGGAUGAAUGGUUUGCAGUACUCUACUGAAGAAGGUUAUUCUAAUUUGUAAGGCGUUGUUGUCCUCUUUCAGGGACCUUCCACCCCGAGGAACAGGUGACCUACUGAUGAGUUUGUGUACCAGUGCCAGGAUCUUAUCCAUUUCCAAAUUUGUCAUGCAUGACUGCAAAUGAUUGUACAGGAACAAAUAAUUGGUUUAGAUGAUUGAACACAGGAAUAGAUGACACAUUUUUAUGAUAUAGUACGAGCACAAUGUUUAUAUUUUAACACAAUUAUGCUUGGUAUCAUUUGACUAAAUUGUUUUGGGUACGUCUUCCACUGUAUCGUUAGAUGGUCAAACAUCCACACAUUCAGGUAUGUGUCGCAUGACAAGUGCAUGAAUGUGUUGCAAUUCAGCUAUAUCCUACGGUCAGAAGCCUAUGUUAUGGAAGAGAAGAUUGUACCUGCAUAUUCAAGUUCAACACAAAGAUGAUGCCAUCAAUGACACCAGCCUUUGACAUGUGUGCAGGAAAACAAAAGUUGGUGCAGGCAAGUGGGCACCAGUAUCACCUGGAAACUGGAGCUAUCCAAUUAGUUUAGUUAUCUGCUUCAAAUGAGAAGCAUCGCCGUCCUUCGUCGAUGACGGAUUUUGCCGCUCUGGACACUCCAGAUGCAGCAGCCCCCAUCAACUAACCGCCUUUGUUAAAUUUUGUAGAGUUUGUGAGUGUAUUUGGGUAUGCAAUACUAUGUUAUGGCGAAUCUGACCACUACAACCUCCAUUCACAUGUGCUCAUUGUUCUUUAUUACACAUCUACAACUGACCUAUGUUCCGUUUCGAAAAAAAAAUUAAUCCGUUUCGAAAAAACAA